AUGCUGUCGACUGAUCUCCGCCUGUUUAUUGGACUGCCUUUGCCCUGUCUUCAAUACUCCUGUUCACCAUUGUUUGACUUCUGCCUAUUUAUGACCAUUUCUUUUAUUAAAUCUUGCAAGUGGAUCUGCAUGUCUCCCGUCUCUGUCAUCUCAUUACAAUUUGGGGAUCUGUGCACCAUACAAAGAUCUUGUGUGUUGGACUACAGCAAAAAAACAUCAUCAAACUUCCCUCAGAAGAUGGCUAGUCUUUUGUUAAAGGAAUUUCUUGCAUUUCUGAAAAAGAAACCUGUUUUCAUCCAAUUUCCAUUGAGUGCUUUACUAUUUGGAUUAGAGGAGAUCGUUGAAAUCCAUUUUACAUGCCCGUGCAAUGUUAAGAUGAAUUAUCUUUUAGUGCUGACAAUGUUCUUUGGACCUUCUUUGUUUAUUUUUGCUUUAAUGUUCUUGUUUUAUCGGCCUUUUAAACAUGGGUAUUUGCAUUGUGCUAAGAAAGCAAAUGGAGAAACUUUAGAUGAAACUCAGCAGAGCUGUCCUAAAUCUCUUGGAUAUUGUCUGAUUGCACCUGUAAUGUGGGUCAUCAUCUUGUUUCUUGAUGGAGAUUACUUUGUUUGUUAUCAUACAGACUGGAAUGGACAUUAUGUUUUUGAUGAGGAGCUCAACAGGUCUUGGUGUAAACCUACUGAGGGGAUGCGAACUGAGACAGAGCUACGCAGUUUGACUAACUAUAAUCUUCAUUAUUCUCGGGUAAAUAUCAUAUCUACCAUGUGAGCUUGUUCUGUUACUGUAAUAUCAUAAAGGAAUGUUAAAUUAGUUCCGUCUUGACCUCACAAUAUAUCAGAGAGGGAAAUUUUUUUAUUUCAUUUUCAUAUUUUAAGUGAGAAAAAUAUAUUUGUAGACAAAUGUGUACGUUUCAUAUGUGUCAAUUAUGUGAAAUAUGCAACAAAAUGAGAAAGAAGACUAAUACACAAACUUAACCAUUAAAUACGUACGACCACACUGGUGUGAUCAAUCUAGGCUCGUCCCUGAGGCGUACGAUCACACCAGUGUAAUUAGAACGCUCAUUGCAUCACGUGUUCAACUGAGCCAGAUCAGACACGCUGAGCGCUUGUCAUAAUAUUACAACUAUUCAGUGUUUUCAACCACAUGUUUAUAUUAGGUUUCAUACAUUUAAAUACUCGUAAGUACUAGCAAAACAAUACAUUUAUAGUUUGUAAAAUACAUACCAAUGUCAAUGGAAACGGCAAUAAUAAUUUUAACAAAUAUAAUCUGACGACAUGUUUUAUUGAUAUCAUAUACACAUUGAGCAGGUAAUUAUAAAGUUAACUCUACUCUUCUCCCAGUUUACCAGAGACUUACUUUAGGCCCAAUCCCAAUUCUAUUUUAUACCCCUACGCCUACCCCCUCCCCUUGUCCCUUGAAACAGAGUGUCAAGGGGUAGGGGUGAAAAUACCCCCCUAAGAAUUGGGAUACCACUACUAUUACGUUACACGUCAUCAUAUGUCAUCUAGCUCGUACAAUACACACACCUAUACUGGUGUGCAUUAGAGCCUAUAAUUACAGUUCUAUAUUAAUGUGCUGCUUACUGACACACACACACACACACACAAACAUAUCAGAGAUCGUGCAGCAUCCAGGAGAAAAGAAACUUGUCAAAGCUGCCUCGCGACUUUUAUUAAUAACAGUUUAAAUACUUAAUCUCUACAUUAUACUUUCCAGCAACGAGAGGACAAAAUCGCAGUUUUUUUUAACUCACUCAAUGUAAAGAGAGGUGCAUACACACAACUUUCAUCUCUCUCUCUCAAAUUGGCCAAAUUUGAGAAUUUUUUUUUAGCGAUUUUGAAUUAUUGAAUGUAUCAUAAAACAAAAGAUUACUUUUCAUUAAAAUCUUUAUUAAUGCCAAUAAUGCUUACAUUUAUGGGUCUUCUUGUUCGCUCAGGCAGCCAUGUUGCCGCUGUAAGCUGGUUUACGCUGAGAUAAUUCAUACCCUUUCGUUUGGAGUGUGGUCCCAAAAAAAUAUUCAUUUGAAGGGCUAUCUGGCCCUUGCCCUUACCUCUACCCCCCCCCCAUGUGUCAUAAAGCGCUAUUGUGGCUGCGGUGUGUCACAUGACAAGCAUAGCACGUUGCCAUGGAAACAAUAAGGCGAUACAUUCUGAAAAAAAUGGUCACCUAAAAAAACUCACGCUGGGGGCUCAGCUAGAAUAUUUUUAAACUCACGUUGUAAAGGGUAAAAGAACAACAGAACAAAGAUACAACGUAAACAAACAGUGCUUUAAGUUUUUCUGUUUUCUAGUUCUAAAUAACAAGUAAGUUUUUAUACCAAGUAGCUGAAAAGCAUGAACUUCCUCACAAUAUAGAGCUAAAUAGAACAUUGCACCAAUUUUGUAAACACAAGAGCAUCACGCAUGUUUGAGUAAACAUGUGUGAUAGUUUAUUCACAGAGAGACGCAGAACAUACAGAAUUUUAAUAUUGCAAACCUUUUUUGUUUUUUAUUCAUAGAUACUAGUCCAUAUUGCAAUUUGAUUAAGUGAUUUAGUGCACUGCACCAGUGUAUUCAUCCUAAAAUUGCCAAAUUCCGUCACAUUCUGCGUAACAUAAUAAAUUCCAUUUUUAUUACUGGAUUCUGUGAUUU
ensembl:lncRNA